AGAAUCAACGCUGGCGGCGUGCCUAACACAUGCAAGUCGCACGAGAAAGGGGAGCAAUCCCUGAGUAAAGUGGCGCACGGGUGAGUAACACGUGAAUGAUCUACCUCCGAGUGGGGAAUAAACUGAGAGAAAUCUUAGCUAAUACCGCAUAAUACCCACGGGUCAAAGCAGCAAUGCGCUUGGAGAGGAGUUCGCGGCAGAUUAGUUAGUUGGCGGGGUAAUGGCCCACCAAGACGAUGAUCUGUAUCCGGCCUGAGAGGGCGCACGGACACACUGGAACUGAAACACGGUCCAGACUCCUACGGGAGGCAGCAGUGGGGAAUUUUGCGCAAUGGGGGAAACCCUGACGCAGCAACGCCGCGUGGAGGAUGAAAUCCCUUGGGAUGUAAACUCCUUUCGAUCGGGAAGAUAAUGACGGUACCGAGAGAAGAAGCCCGCUAACUUCGCGCCAGCAGCCGC
rnacentral:rRNA from 1 species